GAGUUUGAUCAUGGCUCAGGAUGAACGCUAGCGGCAGGCUUAACACAUGCAAGUCGAGGGGUACUCUAGCAAUAGGAGAGACCGGCGCACGGGUGCGUAACGCGUAUGCAAUCUACCUUUCACAGAGGGAUAGCCCAGAGAAAUUUGGAUUAAUACCUCAUAGUAUUAUGGAAUGGCAUCAUUUUAUAAUUAAAGUCACAACGGUGAAAGAUGAGCAUGCGUCCCAUUAGCUAGUUGGUAAGGUAACGGCUUACCAAGGCGACGAUGGGUAGGGGUCCUGAGAGGGAGAUCCCCCACACUGGUACUGAGACACGGACCAGACUCCUACGGGAGGUAGCAGUGAGGAAUAUUGGACAAUGG
rnacentral:rRNA from 1 species